UACGUAGGGUGCAAGCGUUGUCCGGAAUUAUUGGGCGUAAAGGGCUCGUAGGCGGUUUGUCGCGUCGGGAGUGAAAACCAUGGGCUUAACUCAUGGCUUGCUUUCGAUACGGGCAGACUAGAGGUAUGCAGGGGAGAACGGAAUUCCUGGUGUAGCGGUGAAAUGCGCAGAUAUCAGGAGGAACACCGGUGGCGAAGGCGGUUCUCUGGGCAUGAUCUGACGCUGAGGAGCGAAAGUGUGGGGAGCGAACAGG
rnacentral:rRNA from 1 species